AUCAUUAAUGAAAUUAUAAUCCGGCGAGGGAAAGGCGGAGAGUUGUAGCUGGCCCCAGGGCAUGUGCACGCUCUCUUCCGGACUUUCGCCGUAUGGGCGCGGGGCGACCCGCGUCUUCAUAUACCUCUUCGUGUAGAAAGUCUUUGAAUGUUAUUACCAUCAUCGAGUCGCGACUUCUAGGAGACGCGAUUCUUUGAGACAAAAGUUAUUACAACUUUCAGCAACGGAUCUCUUGGCUCUCGCAUCGAUGAAGAACGCAGCGAAUCGCGAUAUGUAAUGUGAAUUGCAGAUCUACAGUGAAUCAUCGAAUCUUUGAACGCACCUUGCGCUCCUCGGUGUUCCGAGGAGCAUGCCUGUUUGAGUGUCAGUAAAUUCUCAACCCCUCUCGAUUUGCUUCGACAGGGUGCUUGGAUGUUGGGGGCUGCCGGAGACACUGGACUCGUCCAGGACUCGGGCUCCUCUUAAAUGAAUCGGCUUGCGGUCGACUUUCGACUUUGCAUGACAAGGCCUUUGGCGUGAUAAUGAUCGCCGUUCGCCGAAGUGCAAGACAGAACGGUCCCGUGCCUCUAAUGCGUCGACGCCUCUCGGGGCCGUCUUCCUCAUUGACGUUUGACCUCAAAUCAGGUAGGACUACCCGCUGAACUUAA
rnacentral:rRNA from 1 species